UUCCAGCUCUUAUCCUAUCAGCUGAAGUGAAUCAAGGUGGGAGGAGGUGAAGCAAUUGGAACAGGCAGUUUUUAAGGCUGCGCUGAGUAUAAGGGGAGUUAAGUGGAGAUAUGCCCCAAACAGAACCAGUGGACCUGGUGUCACACCUAACAGUUGUGUGAAGCAGCGCCCUAUCCCCUGGUAUUGCCAGGAGGAGCCGUGGAAGGAGGAAAUUCAAAGAGGAGCUCAACCACCCUUCUGGAGGCCAGAAAACCCACUAUUGUCACGACGCAGUUUCACUGAUGAUUGCUAGAGUGGUGGAGUUCUAUUUUGCUCCUGCUGCUUUUCCAGGAUAAAUGCAUCUACUCUCUCACAGCAGUGUGAAACCAGUUAACGUUAGCAAGCCACUUCCUCAUUUCACGAAGUGCUGCUGCUUCUCUGUUGUCCUGGAUCAUUCUCACUCCCCUGUCAGUCAGCUGAGUGGCUUAGCAGGAAGGGCCAAACUUGUGCCUCAUCCUUGAGAGCUGUGCAUCUUCCCUGGUGCAGCUGUGCAGCCAGACCUGUCACAUUAAGGUACCGUGCUGCUGGCUGUCACCCCUCCAGGGCCGUCCUGCACACUGUUUUGCUCCUGGAAAUCCAUUGUAGAAAACUGUAUCACAGCUGUGGGAGUCUGCUACUUACAGAAAGCACAACUGGAAGUGGAGCUAAUGGUGAUCUUCAGAGCAGCAUGUUUGGUUCAAAACUGUUUCCCAAGAAGAACUGCAACAUUAAUAUAUCUUGAAACUCCACUGAUGGUGCUGUACUGACCUUAAUUGCAAUGGCAAAUGUUUAAUUUUUUUUAUUCCCUCUUUCAUAUUUCAGAGCUUCUUCUACUUGGCUGUAUAUAUUCAGAUAAUGGAAAAAUAUUAUUUCUUUACUAAUUAAGUUCAGUAUGUCCACAGCCUAGACAGACUGUACUUACAGGGAUGGCUGUUUCUACACAGCAUGGGCUGCUUUGCCAGGAGCCAAACCCUGAAUCAGUGGGAACGGUGGCAUUAAAUGAAAGGGGAGCAGGAUCAGACCAUGCAUUAUUUUUUUAGCCAAACUAACAUGCCACAAAGAAAUGUGUUGAAACAUUUAUUAAAAAAUAAAAGAGAAACAUAUGGUUAGAUAAUUAGUGGGAAUCACAAAACACCUACACAGGAUAGUGGGAAGUGGGAAAAUCCUCAUACACAUAUUUGAAGUUACACCACAGAUUUCUUGGGUGUUUUUAUUUUAUUUUUGCUCUGCUGUUUUAUGUCUGUACAAAUAAUAGGGAUGGUGAUUAUGUUACCUGAGCAAUCUGAAAUCACACUUUCCUGUGUAGCAAACAGAAGUGAGUCCUGUCUAACAUGAAGCAAAUUUCACAGCUGCAGUGUUU
rnacentral:lncRNA from 7 species